AUCAGACCUGAGGACAGAAGGGUUGGGGCUGCAAGGAAUCCUAUUGUGUGAGAGCCGUGACACAGUGAGUGGGAGGUUUUGAUCUUGACCUCCUGGAGCACUUUCAUGGAAAAGGCAGUUCCAGGAUUCUUUGUGGCCUCUUCCACAGGAGAAAGUAAAGGAGCUAGAGCCCUCUUAAAAUUUAGUUACUGAAGAACUGAAGUUAUUCACAGCAACCUGGCAGAGGAGAAUGUGAAAUACGUGGAUCUCAGGUAAGGUAAUAGGUAAUGUCCCUAAUUCCACAGUGAUGCU
rnacentral:lncRNA from 1 species